rnacentral:rRNA from 1 species
GACUAACGCUGGCGGUAUGCCUUAGACAUGCAAGUCGAACGAGUUUCCGGGCUUGCUCGGAAAUUAGUGGCGAACGGCUGAGUAACGCGUAGGUGACCUACCCCGUAGUGUGGAAUAACUGCCCGAAAGGGUAGCUAAUACCGCAUGUUGGGCCGACAUCAAUGUCGUCUCCAAAGCAGAAAUGCGCUAUGGGCGGGGCCUGCGUUCGAUUAGCUAGUUGGUGGGGUAAUGGCUCACCAAGGCGACGAUCGAUAGGUGGUCUGAGAGGACGAUCACCCAGACUGGGACUGAGACACAGCCCAGACUCCUACGGGAGGCAGCAGUGGGGAAUAUUGCACAAUGGGCGAAAGCCUGACGCAGCAACGCCGCGUGAGGGAUGAAGGCCUUCGGGUUGUAAACCUCUUUUAGUUGGGAAGAAGCGAAAGUGACGGUACCAACAGAAAAAGCACCGGCUAACUACGUGCCAGCCGCCGCAGUAA